GAUGAACGCUAGCUACAGGCUUAACACAUGCAAGUCGCGGGGCAGCAUGGGGGUUGCUUGCAAUCCCCGAUGGCGACCGACGCACGGGUGAGUAACGCGUAUCCAACCUGCCCUUCACCACGGGAUAACCCGGCGAAAGUCGGACUAAUACCGUAUGUUGUCCAUUGACGGCAUCCGAUUUGGACGAAAGGCUUGGCGGUGAGGGAUGGGGAUGCGUCCGAUUAGCCAGACGGCGGGGUAACGGCCCACCGUGGCUACGAUCGGUAGGGGUUCUGAGAGGAAGGUCCCCCACACUGGAACUGAGACACGGUCCAGACUCCUACGGGAGGCAGCAGUGAGGAAUAUUGGUCAAUGGGCGUAAGCCUGAACCAGCCAAGUAGCGUGCAGGAUGACGGCCCUAUGGGUUGUAAACUGCUUUUAUGCGGGGAUAAAGUGGCCCACGUGUGGGCUUUUGCAGGUACCGCAUGAAUAAGGACCGGCUAAUUCCG
rnacentral:rRNA from 1 species